CCUUGGCACUAGAAGCCGAUGAAGGACGUUACUAACGACGAUAUGCUUUGGGGAGCUGUAAGUAAGCUUUGAUCCAGAGAUUUCCGAAUGGGGAAACCCAGCAUGAGUUAUGUCAUGUUAUCGAUAUGUGAAUACAUAGCAUAUCAGAAGGCACACCCGGAGAACUGAAACAUCUUAGUACCCGGAGGAAGAGAAAGAAAAUUCGAUUCCCUUAGUAGCGGCGAGCGAAACGGGAAGAGCCCAAACCAACAAGCUUGCUUGUUGGGGUUGUAGGACACUCUAUACGGAGUUACAAAGGACGACAUUAGACGAAUCAUCUGGAAAGAUGAAUCAAAG
rnacentral:rRNA from 1 species